GGGUUGUGAGGUUAAGCGACUAAGCGUACACGGUGGAUGCCCUGGCAGUCAGAGGCGAUGAAGGGCGUGCUAAUCUGCGAUAAGCGCCGGUAAGGUGAUAUGAACCGUUAUAACCGGCGAUACCCGAAUGGGGAAACCCAGUGUGACUCGUCACACUAUCAUUAACUGAAUCCAUAGGUUAAUGAGGCGAACCGGGGGAACUGAAACAUCUAAGUACCCCGAGGAAAAGAAAUCAACCGAGAUUCCCCCAGUAGCGGCGAGCGAACGGGGAGGAGCCCAGAGCCUGAAUCAGCAUGUGUGUUAGUGGAAGCGUCUGGAAAGACGCGCGAUACAGGGUGACAGCCCCGUACACAAAAGCGCAUGUGCUGUGAGCUCGAUGAGUAGGGCGGGACACGUGGUAUCCUGUCUGAAUAUGGGGGGACCAUCCUCCAAGGCUAAAUACUCCUGACUGACCGAUAGUGAACCAGUACCGUGAGGGAAAGGCGAAAAGAACCCCGGCGAGGGGAGUGAAAAAGAACCUGAAACCGUGUACGUACAAGCAGUGGGAGCA
rnacentral:rRNA from 1 species